CAGAGGUAUGGAGAACUUGGUGGCUGGCUCCACCCUUCCUACACUUUUUGCAGAUGAAGAUGGAUCUAAGGAAGGUGGUGAAAUUACUGUAACUGGAUUAGCUCAUUCUGAGAGUUCGUUCAGUGGCGGAACUUCACAGUCUGUGAAUAACCCAGAUUUGGUGGAGGAUUUGUCACAGGUUCAGCAGCUGCAAAAUGAGUCCUCUAAUACUGCUGAAAACACUGAGCAGAAGCCUGAGGAGGAGCAGCAAAGAACUAAACGAGGAGGCUGGGCCAAAGGGAGAAAGAGGAAGAAACCCCUUAGGGACACAAAUGCCCCCAAAUCCCCCCUCACAGGGUAUGUGCGAUUCAUGAACGAGCGUAGGGAACAGCUUCGAGCGAAGAGGCCUGAAGUCCCUUUCCCAGAGAUCACCAGGAUGCUGGGCAAUGAAUGGAGUAAACUGCCUCCUGAGGAGAAACGGCGAUACCUUGAUGAAGCAGACAGAGAUAAGGAGCGUUAUAUGCGGGAGCUGGAGCAGUAUCAGAAGACAGAAGCCUACAAAGUCUUUAGCAGGAAAGCACAGGACAGGCAAAAAGGCAAAUCACACAGACAAGAUGGAGCAAGACAGCCAGCCCAUGAUCAUGAGAAGGAAGCAGAUACAAAGGAGAGAUCUGUUUUUGAUAUUCCAAUCUUCACAGAAGAGUUCCUGAAUCAUAGUAAAGCACGUGAAGCUGAGCUGCGGCAGCUGCGUAAAUCCAACAUGGAGUUUGAAGAGAGAAAUGCUGCUCUGCAGAAACACGUUGAGAGUAUGCGUACAGCAGUGGAGAAAUUGGAGGUAGAUGUGAUACAGGAGCGUAGCCGCAACACGGUGCUGCAACAGCAUCUAGAGACCUUGCGCCAAGCCCUCACAACCAGCUUUGCUGGAGUUCCACUACCAGGUAGCGGCGAAACACCCACGAUGGAAACUAUUGAUUCUUACAUGAAUAGACUGCACAGUAUUAUUAUGGCAAACCCACAGGAGAACGAGAACCUUAUAGCCACAGUCAGAGAUGUGGUAAACAGACUUGAACGCUAGUGACGGGAGGAGAAAAAAAUCCCUCAAAGAUCACGCUUUCUUUGUAUCACAUGAAUGUAUAUACAAUAAUUUGCCAGCCUGAUGGAGACAGAAGUUGAAAUAUGCUUGGAGCAGUUAUAUUCAACCAUAUGUAAGUGCUGGCUCUACCUGGAGCUUAUUUCUCUCACCAGGUGAUUUUUCUAGCAGGUAAUCUUGCUGCUUCCUGCUGUAGGCAGUAUUAAGGAAAAUGUGUCAGAAAAAUUGUCCAAAUGGCUUUAUAUUAGAAGAUUCCAUUUUAGCUAUGCCCGUGGGAGGAAAUGCCUAGAUAUAGUUAAAAAGUUGUAGUUCUCAGGUUUGACGAGCUUGAGUUUUAGGAGCCGGUCUGUAUGCCCAAUUGUGGAAGCACUUGCAUUUACACAUCCUACCCUCGGGUUCUCAAGGGAGACGGUUUCUUUGAUCUUGCUGCGUCUUCCCUGUGUGCAGCUAGUCAAGCAGAGACUGAGGAGAGGAGGUUUUCCUAGUAGAGCUCUGCUUCCAGGAAAAAAGACCCACCACACCUGUAAAUGUUAUUGUUAGAACUAACCAACUAAAUUUCACAUGUGUGGUAGGUUCUCAGUGACCAAAGCCAGGUGUAGCUGUGAAAACAGUGGGAAGGGCUUUUGGCUGUAGUUAAGGAUCUGUACUACCACUAUGUGACAAGGACUGCUCGUUGUAUUGCCUGGGUCUAAUCUGGUGGUGGGGUGGAAUUGCCUGAUCCCUAACCAUCUUCCUUCCAAAUCUGCCUGUAACGUCAGACUGAGACAUCAGUGCUUAGGAGAACAAGGAGUCAUCACAAAUGCAGCUUCCCCUCCAGGUGCCAGGAGCAUAUAUAGUUUUUUUUUUUUCUACAAAAAAACCCCCACAAACCAACCCUUCCUUCUGCAUUAGUGAAUCUACCUAACAAGCCUUACCAUGGGAACUCAUUGCCUGACCCACAGCCAUCUCCAAGAGAAGAGGGCAAUAAAAUGAGUGGGUUGCUGUAACUCCCUGUGCUUCAGAACAACUCUUCAUAAUUCCUUCCCCUUACUGUCCUAAAGACCAAACAGCCUCUUACUCCCGAGUUGGUCCAUUUACGCACUCUAUUCAUGGGAAACCGUUCCCUAUUGCUCCCUACAGAGCCCAGUAAGUUCUAUCUCUGAAAAUCCUUCCUGGUUUUGUUUGUUUGUUUGUGGGUGUGGUGGGUUGUUGUUGUUUAUUUUUUGUGUUGUUUUUUUUGUUUUUUGUUUUUUUUUUUGAAAAAAAUCCUUUCUCCAUCUCUCCCUCUCCUCCUGGUCCUUUGCACCUGGGCUGGCUGUAUCUGUGAAGCUCCCAAAGCCUGUGAGUGAUGCUGUUUGCCUCUGAGUCAGAGAGGCUUUUAAAUCUGGGUGUAAAAUGAGACUCCUACAGCAGUAAACAGAGUGAUCAUAUGCCUCCUUUGAAGUUACCAUUUAAAUAACCUCCAGGGCUUUAGUAAUGCGGGAAGUGAGCAAGAGGAAAUAAUUCCCUCCUUCUCCCCCCUCCCACUCCCCUCUCCAAAGCAGGGAAGAUGAAAAUGAAUUCCCUGGCAGAAGAGGGACACAGGUUUUCGAGGUAUUGCAGAAAAGAUGAACAGCUCUCACUUGCAGCUUAGUUAAUGAGUCAGCUCAUAUUCAUUCAUGGGCGCGAUUUAUUAACCCAUAAACACUGCAGAUGAUGGUGUUAUCACUGUGAUAAACUAAUUUUAAUUUGUUAUGUAAUUUAUUAAGGUAGAUGCUGCAUCAGAGGGAAGCCUGUGUCUGCUCAUGUGUCCAGGGUCCUGGCUUGGUGCUGGGAAGGGAAGAGCGGAUCAGGGAAGCAAAAAGGAGGGGUCUUAGCAGGGCUAUGGAAGCUGACCUGGUUGCAGACCAUUGUUAUUUUUUUGAUGGUUCCCCACCCCUGCGGGUUGUUCCUGGUGCUGCUAAUUCAUGAAAAGGUGGACGUGUUUUCAGGCUGCCAGCUCUUCAUCUGAAUGGAUGCUUGGAUUUUGGCUGAAGGCAGACAGACACACCGUAAAAGCACAAGUGAGCACAUCUGACAGCACCAGAAGGGUGUUCAGAGAUGUGCUGGGAAGGAGGUCAUCCUGUGCUGAAUGGGAUACUGUAAUGUUGGAUGGCAGCGUUGUGUGCUCUUGAGAUUAUAGCAGGACCAUAGCUGUGGGCUGAUGGCAUAUGGCUGCCGAAUAGGAGCAUGGUGUAGCCUUCUGAGACCUUUGUAGUUAAUAUGUGCAGCAAUGAUAUAAUGGGACAGCUUUCCAGUGAGACAGCAGGUUUACCCAGGACUGGAAGGAUUGGGAACUGGGGAGCCUGGAGAAUUAACACUCUCACUUGCCUGGAUAUUAGUUGUUUGCCAGGUAGUUUAACUAGUCAAUAACUAAAUGAGUUCAGUCCUUUGUUAAGUGAUUUAUUAAAUAGUAAGAUUUAUUCAAAUAAUUAAAUAGACUUUAUUAGUGUAGCAUAUUAACUGGAGAAUGCCCUGAAGACAUCUUAGUGUGUGAAGCUUAUCAAGCUGCCCAAGGUUGGUUUCUCCUGGGACCAAAGAUGCAGUGCUUGUGGAUUGCUGUGUUUUCAGGCUGCUCUUAAUCAAGUGUUUGGGGCUUAUCUUUUGUAAGGAGAAAUACACACUUGCCUGGACAUGUUACUAUCCAGUCCUUGACCUGACUGAACAUGUGGAGAGUUUCCAAGGCAAUUAUACCUACACUAAUCAUAAUUUGCUCCUUAAUCUUGGAGUAUUCGUCUCUAUGUCUGUGUUUAUACUAAGCUGCUGAACAAUUUUAUUAGGUGCUUUGAAUAAACUGUUUAAUUGUACCAUAGAUAUUCCUGAUGCAUACAUCAUUUUCGUUACAUAUCACUGCCCAUUGUAGUGGAAUAAUGCUCAGAGGCUGCUAUUAAAAAUGGGGCUCCGUUGUCCUGGAUGUUGUACAGACAUAGUAAGCUGCAGUCUCUGUCCUGGAGAGCACAACAGCCCAUUAUAGCACCCUUAUAACAUAAGUGCCCAAAAUAGUUCCAUAGGUUCCAUAGUGGGAAGGGCCUAGCAGACCCUUUAACGCAUGAAGGCAGCGGUGUUCCUGAAUUCACCUUUGUCCACAUUCUUCCAGCAUUAUCCAUGCUGUGGCUUGUUAGACAGAAUUUUAGGGAAUGAUAAUUUCAGGUGUACUUGGAACUAGUCACUUCUCCUUCCUCUAUGAGCCCUCAUGAGGGUGGAAGAUUAGAGCCAGAUUAUUCUUUUUCAUAUCUGCAGCAUGGGUUUAUGUUUUCUCAAAUGCAUUCUAUUGCAAGCUGAAUUCUUUCCCAGCUUUUUUGUACUUCACCAGAUUCCCUUGACCUUGUGCCAGUCAAUGAUGAAUUGUACAAGUCCCCAUCGAAAACACUGCAGAAGCCAGAGGAAUGCCAGCCUUACUGUGUAGUACAUUAAGUCAAAAUAUUUUAAGCUUAAGACUGAUGGAUGUGAUUGUUCUAUUUCAACCUGCUCCUUCAGAUUAAAAAGCUGCUAAAAGCUUCAGUUUGUCUCGAUGCAUCUGCUGCUUCCUGACCAAGGAAUGGCAUGUCCAGGACUGGGGGCUGUGGGGAGAAGGAUGAUAUUUUGUGAUAAAUGUAUCUGAUGGUGUUUUAUGUUCAGGAAGUUUUUUAAAACCUUCUACAGCAAAUGAUCAAUCUGUUAGCAUCUCACACUCCUUUGACUUUGAGGAACAAGUUGUCUAAGAAGACCAUAGACCUCUAAUACGUGCAGAGUCGCUUUUUGCUUAUGCCUCUUUCUUGCCUUCACCUCUGCUGCGCUGUUACUGUGUUAGAUUUGCUAUAACUGCCGAGUAUCAUUCUGUAAUAUGUUUUUUAUCGGAUCUCUUUUUAAUUCUGUAACGCUUUUUACAGUUUUGUGGCUAUAUGAUUAAAUCUGCAAAGCAUUUAUAUGAAAAACUAUAAAAUAACAGAUUAUUGUUAUUUUUCAUUUGCCCUGCAUUCAGUUUUCAGUGUCGAAGGCUCAAUGAGCCACAUUCUGUGGUGAUGGGAAUCAGUGGUGGUGUUGAGGUGACUGAUUUGAAUUUAAUGGUAUAAGAAUAUGAGGAUUUCCUGUGUAAACUGAAAGGCUGGAAACAUGCUCAAAGACAUAGCUGGAAGAGCCAGUCUGUAAAACCUUUGAGAUGAUGAAAAGGCAUAAAUAUCAGGCUUCUUCCUGUCAGACUCUGUGAUCUGUCACAGCACCAGUGGCAGAAGCAGGAGAGACGCAGAGGCUACAAAAGGCAACUCUUACUUCUGGAAAUGGCUGGUGGGAUUUAGAACUGGUUUUAGCUCGCAUGAAAUUUUGGGACUGAGGCCAAGCACUAUUUUUGGAAUUUGAGGUUGACCCAUGGCUAGGAUUGAGGGCUUGAGUUUGAUUUAGUUUAAAUCUGAGGCUGAACUUAGUUGACAUCUACUGGUUGGAUUCUAGGAAAUCAAGAGAAGCUUCAUUGACCGUGAAAUUCAGUUUUCAAAUACUGUUGAGAAAUAAAAUAUAUUUGAGCCAUGUUGCAACAACAAAAUGAGAACCCAAACUGGUGACACUUAGGCCUGACCUCAACACCCUCAUUUCUCCUGCAUUUUGGAAUCUGAGGGGCUGGGGGGCGGGGGCAGAGAAGAGAAGAUGAUGUCUCGUGAAUAGAAAUUCAAUUGGUUUAAUAUACAGACUAUUUUGCUGCAGUCUAACUGAAGGCUCUUAUUAGGAAUCUGAUGGCACUUCUAAACAGGGAGAGCUGCUCCCGUAGUGGGGGCAAUCUCCAAUCAUACGCCAACAUUGCUUUUGACGUAUUUAUGACUCCAAUAAAAUCUCCCAUCUGGUAUAUUUUAAAAUAAAAUUGAAAAUUUAUCACUUUCCUUUAGUUGGUUUGUCGUUCUCCCUGAGAGAAGAUAGCCAGGCUGAGAUUAUUGCAUCGGCAGCCUGUCAGCUGAGGUUAGGCUGAGGUGUGAUUUAAAUUUCAAUACUUUCUGCAUUACAGCUGUCUGGGGUGGUGAAAUUACAAGGAGAAAAGCAGAGAGUCUGUUAUUUUUAUUCAUUAGUCUCUCUUGAUUUGUUUUGUUUUUCUUUUGGAUAGUUCUACUCACCACAUAAGGCACCUGCGGAAAAAAAAGAUAUUCCCUGUUUUUCUGGAUUUCCGUGUUUGCUUGGUCAGAAGCACUUGGGAGGGGAUGAAGCAGAACCGGAAUGUGUCUUCCCCUUUGCUCUCUACCAUUAGGCUGGACUGUGGUAGCAGGAAGAGAUCCAGCUCCGUAUGAGGUACCAUGCAAGUUUAUAGCAUUUGUAGGGCCUGUCUUAAAGAGACUGCAUUUUUUUGUAGAGCAGAUCUGAGGAAGCAGUGUUGAUUCUGAUUUCCGUGAUGAAGGACCAAGGGAGAUAUGUUGGUGGCAUUUUGUGUCACUUAAUGUGGACAGCUGUGUGUAAGCAAAUCUAGAUGUCAUCACAAUAGAGAGAAACGGGCAUUUCUGGAAGUAGGAGCAAACACACCGUGGAUGUGCCUGGCUGUUUCUAGGCCUUUAUGAUGAGUUUAGGUCAGGCACUUUUCAACAGUCUGCAACAGGUGAAACUGAUCACCUGCCACAGGAUUUCUUUGGUGUCCAUAGAUAGCUGAAGUGGGUCUGGAACUUGAAACUACUGAAGCUGAGUCUAGUGCUUUAGCUGCAGGCCAGGAUCUGGCCCCCAGGGGAUCACUGGGAUUUCACAUUUAGUGAGUAGUAGACAGAAACUGUGGAAUACGGGUGACAUGUGAAUAAGUGCUUCGUCGCAAAAUUGUCUGCAAAGCUUUCUGAAGUGGAAGGCUGUCUCCAGGCCUUAGGGGGCCCAGGCAUUCAGCAGUGUGUUCUGCCUCAUGCUUGUGAUUAAUGUUGGAGUCAUGCUUGGCUGGCUGGUCUGGCAUUGCCCACUGAUGCAUUUGAUUAGGUGCGUUUGUUUCUGGUUAGAUACUCAAUCAUCUGACUGUAAAAAUUAUCAGAGGUCUUAUCUGGGCAAUAUAGGUGAGUAAAAUGCCUUUAUCUUCCACCUCCUGCUUCAUUGCUCAGGUUGUGCCUUGAGCUACACUGGAGCUUGUGACUGAUGCCUUCCACGGUAGUUGUACAGGUAGUUGUAUAGGUAGUAAGGUGGGAGGGCACAGUGGUUGUGAAGAUGUCCAUGUGAAGGUUGCAGUAGUUUACCCCCAUAAGCUGGAAUUAUGGGUCCCCCAAGUGGGGAAAGAAUGGGAGAAGUGCAAAUGAAUCUCCAAAUCAUCUCUUGAGUGGUGCAGCAGCAUGGCAGCCCUGACACAGCAGCUGAUACGGGUACAGUCUGGCUCUGGGGAGUUAGAUCCAGCAAUGCAGGUGUGUACUCCGGGAGAAGAUUAUACCUUACACGUGGUUUAUGAACUAUAGGUAUUGAAACUACGUGGGGCCAACUGGGACCUCAGACCCACUGUUCUGUGUGCUGUGGUAUGCUCUGAACGACAGCGUGUAGUUCAGGGCAUUAGACUUAAGUGCAGCCUUAAUUUAAGACAGAAGAAUUAUUUUCUGUGGAGCACAUAUACAACUUUUAUGCAUGAGCUGUGCAUUUGGGUAUUUGUGCAGUGUGCUUCUCAUUUCUGAAGUGUGCAUUUUGGGCUCCUUAUUAUGUGCAAUGGGCUUUUGUUCUUCUGAUAUAUAUCUGUACAGGUGAACAUAUGGUUAAGGAUCUGCCUGUGCGCAUUUUAGCACAACAUUAGUGUAUGGAUAAGUCUUUUGGGAAUACUGUGUUUGUUUAUGGGGUUGUGCUUUUACCAGCAUACAUUUUGUACCUGUACAGUGCAUAUGUGUGUGUCAUUUCAUUCAAUUGUUUUCCUGUUUUCUUGACCGAACAAUUAAGGGUGUUUUUUGAGUGUAUCAGAUAUAUUAUUUCCUUUCACAGCAGUUGUACAUUUGCUAAUGCCAAAUUUAUUCUAAAUGGAUAUACAGAUGCAGUGGUUGAUUUGGUAGACCUAAAUCUUUGUUACACAGGAUGAAUGGAUGUUUUGUUUGCAUGCUCAAUGUAUGUAUAUUCCCUUAGUACCCAUGCUUGUUUGUUGUCUAUAGAAACAAGAGGUGCUUUGCACUGAUAUAACCUGUGCCUUCCUUAGGUGCUGUAAAGUGUGUUUGUGAAGGUGAGGAUUAUAGCAUGUGUGUGCUCAGUGUGUAGUAAAAGUGUGGUUUAUGUCUAAAAAUCAGUGUGCUCGGUUUUAUAUUUGUGCAGUGUAAGCACAUAUUUUCCUGCACUUGCUGGCAGAGUUACAGAAGUAUUGAGUCUUCAUUUUGUUAAAAUAACAGAAGAGUUGUCCACAUAUUUUCUAAUUUUGUAAAAUGUCCUCCAGCUUCCAUGGUUUAAAUUUCUAAGAGGCUGUCCAAGUAAUAUAUGUCAAAAUAUCAGGAAGGAUAUUUAAGCAGUUAUGUCAGUGGAAUGGAACAAAGUAAUGAGUUAAUGUUUUUCUGAUGCUAUAUAAAAGGGAAAAUGGUGAAGAAGAACCGCAAGUAAAAUACAAAGUGAACAAGAUCAGCCAAGGUAAAGUCAGGAGGUUUGUUCUUAAAUUGCAGACAGCUACAGCAAAAGAAUUCACAUGACUGUAUUUCUAUUUUAUGCCAUCCUGUGAUCAUACCAUCCUGUCCCAGAUGUCACACCCUCUGGGGUCAGUCCCCAGGAACCAGGAAAGGUGAUGUAGUCCUCCUAACCUUGUUGCUUCCUCUUGGAUGUCCUGUCAGUUGCUUUGAAAGUGAGUCAAGGCCUUCAUUAUCUCACUAUUUCUUUUCAAUGACAUUUUAAAAGACCUGACACAGAGUAGCAAUGAUUGAAGUGCCUGCUGCUUUUCUCUGUAAUUAUACAGUUUCCUUAUUGGGACUGAAAUUAUUGCCCUGCAAGAGCGCAACCUCUCUAUUGCCACGCAAGCCAAACACAAACCUGCCUGGCUGCAACCAGCACCAUUCCACAUAUACAGACAUGAAAAUUCUUUUCCUUGGCUGCUGGGCUGUACGAUGAAGUAUGUGACCCAGAUUGGAGCGGUGGAGCUGGAGGGAAGGUGGUGGGUGGCUGGACAGGAAAAGGGGAGAGAAGGAGCACAGUGAAAGAAGACAGGUUUGUCUUUUUUUCUGCAUCUCUUCUAAUGGUAACAGUAGUACACUGAAACAAGGCAUUAUGGUCCAUGACUUGUAAUUAGUCCUCAAACAGCCUUUGCUACAUAUUGUCCGACUGAAGGCCUUGCCUGUAGCCUGUGGUAGGAGUAAGAGAGCACAGCCAGGAGGACAAAUGAACAAAAAUGGGAAAAAUGAAGAGUGGGUUGAAGUCAGAGGAGUAAAAUGAUGGUUGAGGAAAACUCUCGCUCAGUGGUGAAGUGUCUUCUGCAGUGUUUGCUUUUUAGAAGGUAUUCAAGUAUUGUCUGAAGCUAUUGCCAAAGCAAACUGAAUCUAGAGAUACACAGAAACACAAACUGGGAUCAGUUGAAGCUUUCUCAAUCUUUUAGCACAAGGCAGGAAUGUGCCAGGCAUGGUGUGAAACACCAGAGGGAGCUGACAGAGAUUCCUGGAGGUAUUAAUUUCCUAGCUGCUAUUUUGUCAUCAAAUGCUGAAAAGUCAACAAAUAACUAGCCUUGAUGCUCAAGGACUGUCCUUCUGCAGUCUGCCAAGUUCCUUGUCUCCACCUGAACUGUAAAUUCACCUCCAGUAUAGAUGCUGGAGUGUUAGUGGAUGUGCAAGGUGAGAGAAAGAGGGAAAGAACAGGAGGAUUAGGCUGAAGGUUCAAUGAAGUAAAGGACUUCCACACUCUGGGAGCUUGCAAGCUCUCUGUAAUAAGGAAGGAGGCAAAAAGAGACCCUGUGUAGCCUCUGAUGGAUAAAUCCCAUCUCAGCCUACAGGGUGUCAUGGAGCUCAGCUCGCAUCCCAGCUGCCUGACCCUCCCUUCCCUCCGCAGCACAUGCUGCCUCUCCCCUGCCCCCUCUCCCUCCAGCUCCUUGUGACAGGCUUCAUAUCCUGGGACCCCGACACUGGAAUGGCAUUUUUGUCUGGCUGGAAUUGUUUAUAAGCACAGAGCUUUGAUGCUGUCUCCAAGGCCUCUGGAGAGCUGAGAAGGGCUAUUUUUCAUGCGAUGCUUUUGGAGAAUGCUAUGGGAAAAGGUCAAGGGACAGAGUGGGAACGAGUAGGUCACAUACUCAUUGGUUUAGGGCACCACGACAACAUUGGUUCUUUAAGAUCUCAGAGCCUGCUUUGUAAAAAUAAGCACCUCUCACUGAGCUGCCUGGGAAAGAACAGGGGCACGCCUCCUGCAAGCGGAUGUUCGCUGCGUUCCUCCGGGUUUGUUCUCUUGCUUUGGCAAUUGCUGCAUCUCAGCGUCCCUGUGAACCAGACAGAUCCCUCAAAUAGCAUGCAGCAUUUUAAAAAGCCUCUUUGCUUACUGCUUUGGCCUUUAUAAUACAAGGAGAAGCUCUGUGAGAGCAGGGUUAGCCCUCUGCACCUGACACAGAUGGUUGCUGUAGUGGGCUCUGGGAGCAGUGCUGCAGGAUUCCUUAGUCCGUUGCCGUGUCACCAUGCUAUGUCUGCGGGCAAAAAAAAACCAGGGCUGAACAGCUAUUUGACCUUUGUUUUUUACAUGUUAUUUUUGCUCAUUUAAAUUGGGGGGCGGGGGGGGAGCAGUCUAACAAGGAUUGUCCUUUUUCCUUUCUUCCUCCCUGACGCACACAUACUACAGAUAUCAGCCGGAGCGUGGGGAGUGUGUGAAGGAACAGGAAGCAGAGGGGUGAGGUGGCAAGUCAUUUACAUUGGAAAUGUAAGCUGAAUGUGCAUUUCCCUUCUCUUCUGCCAUCAAUCACUCAGAUUUCCUGUACACUACGGAAUAGAAGAGUGGAGUUUGCUCGCUUCCCACUUCCCCCGGGAAUGGAAACCCUCAUUUGUUUCACUGUCUAGAAAUGCUGAUCACUCAAAACAUUUAUUGUUUCAGAGACACAUGCAGUUCUGAAGCUGAACUUUUCAGCUUCCUAUCUGGUCUUCAGAAAUGUCCUCAGCUUUCCUGCAGACCUGGAGAAUUACUCUGCUGUUGUUCUAGCUCUGUUAGAGAUGUAAAGGUGCUGCCACAGUAGCAUAGAAAAGCCCAUGGCCAGCUAGGCAGGUGCUUUACUGCAGAGCACUGGCUAAACCCCUCUGUUUUCCAUCAAACCAGUUGCUUUAACUUGUUCAUGUGACAUGGCACCUGAUAGAGUGGGGUCAUGUUUUCAGAGGUCCAAGUCCUGCUUGUCAUUGGAAACCUUUUAGUGACUAUUUUAUGGGGCUAACAAAUCUGUUGAGAGAAAAUUACAGUGCGAGUUAUGUGGAAUAGACAGACCAGCGUGUGUUUGCUGUUUAUCUCUAUUGGAAGGGAUGGGGGUAGUAGUAGAAACAGAGUGUGGGACUGGGAAGCAAAUAGGAAAAGAAGAGCAGAAAUAGAAGGAAGGAAUAGGACAAACCGGGAAGUGAAUGACAAGUCUGUCUCUUUCUAUAGUAGAAAUAAAAUAAGUAUGGAAGAAUUCAGAUAGCCUUGCCUACUGAAGAGGCACAAUAGAACAUGCCCAGCUGUGUGUUGGUUCAGCUUGUGAUAAUGCUAAGGUCUGGCAUACUGCUGUGGUUUUCAGAUGGUAUCUGAUCUCAUUCAACAGCCUCUCAUUAGCCAAAUUCUGGUACUGCAGAGGAGGUGCUGACUUAAUUCCUACAUGUGGGCACUCGGGCUAUGGACAAUUUGGGACUCAUGGAUAAACAAAGGGAUGGGGCACCAUAAGACUCCUGUGUGACUUCAGCAGCCCUUGUUUGGUUAUGGCAUGGUGUCUGUGAAGCUGAGAUCUGUCUGGGGCUGGGAUGUUGUUAGUAUUCAAUUUAGUUGCUGUAGUGAAGAGGCUGAUGAGGCACCAUGUCCUUGAAGCACAGUCAUGGCCAGGAAACUUCUCCUGGCUGUGGGGGUCUGGCGCCCCAUUCCCUGGGGUGUGAGCUCAGCAGCUUUUAUCAGCUCAGCCCUUGUGGCUCUGGGCAGUAACUCCCAGGGGUGACCUGUCGGGAGAACCCAAGGGCUGGAAGGAAAUGCUGCUGAUGACUCAAUAGGCAGAGCUCUUCCCUCUGUUGAUGUUGGAGCUGAGCCACACAGACACAUCCCUCUGUAAUUAUCUACUAGUUACUUAUAAUUCAUGUCUUGUAACCACUGACAUUCUCGUUUGUUGUCCAUGCAUCCAGACAUGCAAGGCCAUACCAUGUUGUAUUGUGCUGAUGCUUACAGCCACCAAGAAGCAAGGAAGUGUUUGACCCUAGAAUGAGGCAUGUUUAGCCCAUGUGUGCACAUCUCGGGCAUGUGCAGAUGUCAUGACUGUGCAGACAGAUCAUGGCCGGUGUUCAUUGCUGUGUUCUGCUGCCCAGGAAAGGUUGUGUGUGGGAUUGCAUGCACAUAAAAACCCAGAAAGAUGCGUCAUUAACCACUUGCUUCAAGACCGAUUCCCAGCCAUCUGCUGCCUCACCAGCUGCUCACAGUGCAGCUCAAAACUUAUCUCCAUUCAGGAGCUCAGACCCCCAGGAAGGGCAGGGGUGGUGGGCUUGAAGUUGCAUAACUGACCUCCCAUGCACUGUCUGUGGGACACAGACCCAGACCUGCUGCCAGACUCUACAGAGAUGGGGAAUAAAUGCAGGGAAAGGGUAGAAGAAGUGAAGUUCAAAUAUGCGGUGCCAACCGGUCACUGCCUUCCAAAUCAACAGCAGUGGCCAUCCUGGCAAGGAAAACCACAUGAAGUGACCCACUGUGGAGUACUAACAACUACUGAAAAAGGAGGGCAUUGGCCUCAGCUUCCACAAGGCACCGACAGCAUUCAAGCCCAAGUCUUCCCACCAUCCACAGCCCUUGGGGUGUUGACCAGCCACACCGAGUGGACGAGAGAGAAGAAGAUGGUGAACCACUGAGAAGGCAGUGCCCAAACCGGCAGCCCCAGCAUCUCUGAGAGAGCCGCCUGCUUGCUUCAGUGCUUGGCCAGCCGUGGAGCUCUGGGGAGGAGCUGGCUUUAGUGGCAGUGACACGAAGAGAAAAAGCCAGAAAGUACCUGUCUAAGGGCUUAGUGGUGACACUGGAGCUCUGCUGAGAGCGGCCAGCCUGGUCCCCACCACACAGAGUGGCUGGUCCCCAAGCUGGGUGCUCAUCUUCCCACCCGAUCAGAGCCGGUUCUUUCGGAGAGAGCCGCCACAGACAAGGGACAUGAUGAAAUCUCCGGAGGGGCUGGAGUUACCCGCUGCCUGGUGAUGAGGAGCUGAGACAGAGCAGCCGACAGGGACCCGCAGCUGCCACCCUGCUCACCCCAGGCUGGGUCUGUCGUGACCCUCAGCACCGGAGGCUGCUGGGAAACUCUGCUUGGAAACCUCAGGAUGGGAACAAGCUGCAGUGACAGAGGGAGCUGUGUUUUACUUGAGUUUGUAUUGUUCCUCCGGUCCUUUGCUCAGGUGAAGGUGCCGGUGACAACCCCGGCCUGCGCUGUUCUACGUGCUCUGGCCAUCCGGGGAGAGGAGCUGAGCGGACACAGGGGUUGAUGAGGAGGGUCAGGGAUCAGCAGGUAUGAAUGUCUCUCGCACAGGGUGCUGGUAACUCUGCUCCCGCCCCAGUGGAAGGGGACAGCUGGGUGCCAGCCAGCCACAGCCCGCAGUGGGGGAGGUGUGGAGCCUGGUGGGGAGGGAGCUGUCUGGGGAGGGUGAUGCACCCAGGCUGGAAGUGCUGAAGAACCCCUCGUCCUCCUCCCAAUGCACGGUGUCUGUCACGGAGAUCCCCACGGCGCUCCCAUCAGUCUUAGAAGCAGGGGAGCUGAGGUACGUUUCACACACAUCCUCCCCUCCUUGCCCUAAACACACCUCUUCCUGGGUUGCUACCUCUUUUAAGCUAUUUUAUUAAGUGUUUUUCAUUUAUCCUUAUGAAAAAAAAGCAUACCACUAAGUGCUGUCUGGCUCUGACACAUAGCCCACAGUUACCUGAAGAGCAAUGCUGGAAACCAGCCCCUGCUCUCUCACCCCUGAUUAAGCUGCAAAAGAAAUACACUUUAAAGUUCAGUAAAGUGUUUAUUCUUUAGGGUUUUUUUCCCCAUCUUUACCCACCGUGAGAAUUGCUGAGCUGAGAUGCUGGCCACUUUGAGAUGCUCUUCUUAUGUUCCAUCCAUCUGCUUUAAGCACACAGUGAGUGAAAAGAAAUAUUAUCCAGUUCACAAAGCACCAAAGAUUAAAAAAUCAGUGCGGAUAAUAAACUGUGUGGCAGGCAGCAGUGCCACAGAGCGUGGGGCAAACUUGCUAAUGAGGGACUUGGAGCCACAGGUUGGAUGCAGGGCCGGCAGCGUGGCCUCACGCCGGGAGGGCUUUGAGCACAGAGGUGGGUCUGGGGACACGUGUGGGUCUGGGUGGCCGGCCCCAGGCUGGGAAAUAUCCUGCACUAGCACAGCCCGAGACGUUACGCAGAAAAGAAACAAUUUUCUCUCUUCUUUUCUUUUUUCAAAGCUUCUUUUUAACAGUGAAAGGCUUGAUUCCUCCCUUUCAUUGCUGGGAUGCUGUAGUCUGCUGCAAAUACCUUGCUGGACUUGAUUAUGAGUAUGUUUUUUUAAAAAUCUGUGUGUGUUGACUUAGCUCUUUUAGCUCUUUUAAUCACAGCAUUAAAAAAGGAUAACUGGAGUCAAUUAAGAAGCUCUUUCAGGUUGCCAGUGUUAACAGCUGUCCAGGAACAUGGAGACCCCUCCACCUCUCUGCCGCCUCUUAACUGCUGAUUGUCAGUGCUGGCAACAAGGCUCCAGCUGAGAUUUCUGCACCUCUCGUGCCACUGCAAGCGGCUUUUUCGGCUGCACAUCUUCCUCCGGAGGGCUGAGGCCUCGGCGCAUCCCGGCCUCUCCCAGGGGAGCGCCGCUCCAAACCCGUGCAGGUGGAGCCGAGAGCACCUGCCUUCAGCUUCAGGUACGGUUUGGGUGGUGCUGUUUGUGGCUUUGUAUUUAGCUCCCUGAAAAUGUUGGUUAAACACUGGUGGGAAGGGAAGCUUUCAAAGAAGCAUUUUGCUUUGGCUCUUUUAAAAAGUAAAUCAAGAGCAAAAGGCUUUUAAAAAUAAUGUUUUGGUUUCAAAGUUAUAAAAGAAAGAUGAGUUAGAGAUGAGAAACUAACAAAUCAAAGCUCCUGAAACCCGCUGCGGAGAAAGAAACACAAAAUGCUUUGUUUGAAGAUGAAUGGAAAGCUGAAACCAGCAAAAACACGCACCCUCCCCACCAGCACAGAUGUUGCAGGUUGGUUCUUCUAGAUUGGCACAUUGCUGGAAGAAAAGCAAAUCCAUUCUUUUCCCUGUUGGCGCUGCAGGUUCCUGUAGCUUAUUUUGUUAUAGUCUCGUAGUGACUUUGAUCCCUUGAAGACUCCUUAAGUGCUUUACAAAUCAAGCAUGCAAAUCUCUCCUCGGCCACCUUGGCGAUGCCGCUGAGGCUGGGUGGGCAAGGAGCCGAUCCUGGUGGCAGCCAGGAAGGAUGGGAAUCACCCGCUGCUUCAGGAACACUUAUGAAAACCUUUAGUGCCCGUAUUACCAGUGUUUGCAGGGAUGUUUUGUGCUUCCGGCACAGUCAAAGGCCAUCACCCUGUGCUGGCGUCCCAGGGCACUGAACCAGGCCUGUUUCUCCCAUGGAAAGGCCCUGUGAGGGGGUUGGCCUUGGCCUGCACCCCACUCUGUGCCUUCUGGGGGUGGGAAGGUGGCACAAACCAACUGGGGAUGUGCUGAGCUGCUCUGAUGAUGCUGCUCGUAUUUUCAAAGCUUGACUUGAGGCAUCUCUUUCCCCAUGACUCUGUCUCUUAAUUUCACAUUCUCCUCUCCCGUUGCCCUCCUGACUUGCGCUUUUUGACUCAUUUGCUGUACGACACCACGCUUUCUGUAGCCUGUGCUGUGUCUCACUGCUGCAGGUCACUCUGCUGUCAGGGCAGGGUGGCACUGUCACACUGCUCCUGCACGGGGCCCGGUUAUCCCACAUUCCUCCCCGGCUCCUCCUGGACACAACACAAGCCUCCCAGAUCUCCCGCACGCAGAGCUGAGCAAAGAGACAUCGCUGUGUGGUGACCACACUCCAUGGUGAGGGCAGGCAGCGCCAUGCAGCCUGCACCACUGUGCCUGUUCUCUGCCUCGGGGUGGGUGGCGGUGUGGGUGUGUGCGUGUCCCUGCACAUCUGUGUGCAUGUCUGCAUGAGUGGUGGAUGCACUUGACACGCCCCCUCCCCCCCCCAGCCAAACCAGCAGCAGUUUGGCACAGACUCGUGUGUGCAUGUAUAGCCCUUUGGCCACAGAUAUAAUACACAGAAUCCUUGACCUGUUUUCCCUUACCCUCUUUGUCUCUUAGACUUGAACCGUCGGUCAAGUCUGGGGCUAAGUUUGGACCCAGCCGCACCUAGGCUCCUCUCUGAGAAGGAGUUUAGAAAGCAAGGGGGUCCAUUCUGAACCCUGUGACUCAACGGGAGGUGCUCCGCUGCCCUUUCAUGUCUCCUGUCCCCAGAAGAAUCGCUUUGGAAUAGCUGCCACCCGGCUCUGCUCAGCGCGUUUCCCCCAGGUAGUAAGAAAUAAAGUGACUCUUCCAUCCAACUCCGUGGAGUUGCACUUGUCUAGUUUUACCUGACACCAGAGUCCAUCAGGCAAAGUCCUUACAAACACAGGAGUCCUGAAGACAUCGGCUGAAUGUUUUCCUGGUAUAAAGAAGAAGAGGAGGAGAAAGAGGUGGUGACAGUGCGGGUGCAAGUGGGCUUGGACGGGGGUGGAGGGUGUGGUGGAAGGAGAGAGGUCGGUAUGUUUGUAGCAAUGUUUGGUUCUUUUAAAUUAUUUAUUUGUUCAUUUGUUCUUUAAAAAAAAAUAAAACACCCACCGUUAUUAUUUGCAAA